CGAGCCAGAAUAAUCGGCCCGCCGGACAUCUACGUGAAGACCGGAAGUCUCUUGACGCUAACGUGUCUCAUGUCGCAAGGUCCACACGAUUUGGGCACGGUCGCCUGGUACCGGGGCACUCAGGCGGUAGUGACGUCACCGCGGUCGGAGAACGACAUCGACUCCGAGCCGCGUAUCACCGUCGAGACAGAUUGGAGCGACGCUCUCACAUCGAGAUUGAGGAUCACGCAUGCGAAGCCCGGUGACUCCGGAAACUACAGUUGCGUUCCUACGGUGGCGGAGAGAGCGAGCGUCAACGUGCACGUGAUCAAUGGUGAGCAUCCGGCCGCGAUGCAGCACGGAAACACGGCAGCCGGCUCGCCGAAUUCCAAGACGGUCCUGCUGAUGCUCGCCUUCCUGCUGGGUCAGCUGAGAUAAUGUGCGUGCACACGCCGUGAGAGUCGCCCGAUACUCGGCGAAACGAAAUCGCACGCUCGCGAAAUCGCGACGUGAUUGCGUGCUUAAGCGUUAGCCCUUCCGCACAGAUCGUCCUGGCUCGAAUCCUAGUCGGUCUCAUCGUAGCGGCCGAAAAGUUAAGUUAUCUCGGGAGAUUACGCGGAAUUAAUGAGAUCUGAGGGCGAAGUUUACCGCGACCCGAAAGUUGACGCUCUGAACUGCGGACUUUAUCCCUUUCAGGUAAUUUUUUAUUCUUUUCAGUUAAUCGCGAUUUUUUUCGGUGACGCAUUACUGAUAAAUUGUCGAUACUCCAAAAUCAUUAUUGCGAUAAUGUCGUUUUAAUUCGUAAAAUUAUUAAUUCACCUUAUAUUGGUUAUUGGUGUUAUCGUCUUCUUCCUGAAUAAAUCAUCCGAAGUAAUGGAGACUGCGCGUGGACUACGAAUUCCGAAAUUCUUUCAGUUCCAUUUCAGUCUCUCAGUCGUCAAAGUAACAAUUUCAAUUUAGAAAGCUCACAAACCUGGUCACUAUUACGUUGUUCGUGUCGCACUCUUUUUGCCGCGAAAGUCGCCGUCUCGUUUCUCCUCAAAUCUAAUUGUGAACGUGGCCGCUAAAAUGAGAAAUACGAAGAUAAUCCCUGAGAGACAGCUCGUUCUUGCGUAAUAAAAGGAGAGCUUUGUGCCUAAGGGUUAAGCGGAAUGCGAGGCGGCCGUGUGUAUGUACACGGCCAUAGGACCUCAGAACCAUGGAUCCUGCGACGAGCUUGCGAGUCGACUUAUCCCGACCGAGAACUCGAAACGAGCUCGGAGCUCCGAAAUGUUUUUUCGUACACCUGUCGUAACGCAGCGUCCGCUAUUCACAGUUGAACUGUACGUUAAAACGUUAAAUAGCCGCGUAAUGAUAACGAGCGAUCCGAGAGCGUUUUCACUUCGCGUGCGUUUUCCGUUAAUUGGCGGCACCUGCGCGAAUAAUAUUUUCAACAGCAAUUUGCGUCUGAAAUUAAUAAUUAUCACGCCGCGCGUAACGACUGUUCCCUUCCCCCUCCUCCCCCUAUAAAUAACAAGCAGGUCUUGUCUACUAAUUGACGGUGCGUUUGUUUCACCGAGCAUCGACUUUUAAUAUCACAUAUUUUGAGUGUUUCGAAAAUAUUUCUUAAUAUUUUUAAUAUUUUUUUAAUAUCUGCAAUUUUUAUCUUUUAUAUAUAAUCUGUAUCUUGUUACUCCGAUCAAAAAGAAAAAAGGGAAAAAAUAACCGAAUAACACGAAUCGCAAACGCGAGAUCGCCAAUUGAGAAUUUUAUUUUCUUCUCAGUUUAGUUCUGAUUUUUCCGGACAUCUGAAUGUAUGGACCGUAAGGGAGAGCAACCAUUGGCGUAGUCUAUAGUUACUUUCGCAAGAGUCACAGUGUGUGUUUAUUGCGAUAACACAGAGAUUUAAAUUGAAUUACAACGCAGCUCUUCCCUUUUCGUCUAUCUCCGUUCAGAGACGCUUAUAAUUUGGAGCUAACGGCGACAGCUGCAAGAAGAUGGCCCGCGAAGAUCGAUAGCCAUGACCCCGAUGCGCUCGAACUUUUCUCGCCGGGGAUAUUUAAGGAUCUCCGACUUCGGCUCAUGAAGUUCUCUCACUUGCAGACCGUCCUCGCAAAAUAACGAUGGCGCCCGAUUAAUUUUCUUUAGCCGUUCAGUGUCUUCGAAGCGUCGCUGAGGAGUUCUUCUGACCCUGUUAACCGAGUCUCGCAUAUUUCGUACACGAGGUACACCUGAGGUCGAUUUCGCACACCGCUGCUCGAGCAGCGAAACGCACUGGACUAGGAUUACGACAUCCAGAAAAUAUAAUCUCAACCUCAACGGAAUCUAUGGCCUGCAGAGAAGAUUCUUCUAAAACCACUAGGAAACUAUUCUAACACUCCAAAUACUCUACUUGCAAGUUUCAGGAGAAUUCUGUGGAGGCCACAUAUAAAAAAUUUUGCUAAGGAUGAGAUAAUAUUCUUCUUUUAUUGAUACUAACGCGUCUUUAUUAAAUUGCGUAUAAUUAAUUGCACUUGAGAGAUAAAUUGUAAGGCCCAUAGAGAGUCGGUAAAACGUGCGAGAGAUAAAAGAUAUUCGUAUCUCGAAUUACCUUUAUUCACCGUAUCUUCAAUAAUUCAAUCAUCGAUUAAGUUUUUGUACAAUCGACGUCAAUCAACGCGACAGUCAAUCUGUUAAUAGCCCUAUCGAACAAGUCUGUAAAUCGAACGAAGUAUCUACAAUCGUGAAAGUAACGAAAAUAAUAUUUUUCUCUUCUUAUUUAUGGAAAAUAUAAUUUUCGGGUUAAGGUCAAAACAAUCGAUUGUUGCAUUAACAUUAGUGUUAGACAAUGUUCCGAAAGCACGCGGCAAACGCGCCAUUUGUAAUUCGUUAUCAACAAGGACGGCAGCUGCGAAUAGUGCGCUACAAACGCAACGAUUCGGCAGGAUUCCGCGGGUGAAAUGAGCCUCGCCACGUCCGUAAAUCGCAUAACGCGGAUCUCCCGAACGGUUCGCACAAAGAGUCGCAUUAAUUAAAUCACAUCCUUCGUUCCAUCGGGAUUCAGAUAAAGUUCACUCGAUCAGGAAUUCGUAAUUAACAUGCCGUCCACUUUGGAUGGCGUAACCCGUUACUGGAUCGAUACGCUGAUCUUUGCCGCGCUCGGUUCGCGAAUAUCGGCUUCAAACACGGUGGACGUCUAUGUCAUCCUGUUCGAAGGAAAUAUCUCAACGGAUAUACCGUAAAUAUCGCAUCCUUCCUCAUUUAAUGGAGAAUUAAUGUCAUUUAAAAAAUUUUAUUUUCUUUUAAUAUCGCACUCGUAAUGGUUUUAUGUAUAUUUGUUUUAUGUAUAUUCGUUAUGUUUAAUGUAUAUUCGUUCGCGGUAUUAUUCCGAGUCCGAGUCAUGUUUAAAGGGACACCGUCGCAAUGCGUUGCGCGAUGACGUAAGAGCGAAAACUUACAUCAUCGCCGCGCGAAUUGGCAGUGAUAUCAUCGUUGAUGCCGCGGCUGAUAUGUCACACCGAUGCGUCUCGCCAUCGUCGUAGUGGCGAAACGCUGCGCUGUGAAAUUCAAACGUGUACAUAUACAUACAAAAGGAUGCUCGACGCAACUCGCUCAUUUGCUUAUGUAGAACUCGUCACACGUCAAUACAAAAAUCAUUUACUAUUUUGCAAAAUAACUAUGUAAAAUGUUGAGUUAACUUGAAAUUAAUUUAAAGUCAAUAUGAAUAGUUCUAUCCGUAUAGUGGAUGUGUGCAAGUUAUGUAAGACAUCCUUUAUAUUUUUUUUUUCCUUUCUUUUAUAUCAGGAAUAUGCUUCUACACAGAAAAUUUCCGUAUACACACGGGAAGACAUCGAAAACCGAAAACGACGAAGCGUAAUAAGACACCGGGACUUGUCAGCUAAGCCAGAUGAACGGCGUCGCGAUCGAGUUCUGUCUGAGGAUCGGUCGGCUUUUAACAUCACGAGGGACGAAGAACGAGGCGCAUAGACGAGGGAGACGAAGAUGUGUUUACGUAUCGACUCGUAAAAAGGCGGGCGAGAGCCCGUAAAAUACGACUUCCAACUUCUGCAGUUAUAAAUCUGAUCUGAAACGUACAUCCGCGUGGAGGAGAUGGAGGAGAGGCAAGGCAGAAGGUCGGUUAUGGGUCUCCGAGACGGAAUCGCGGGGUGGUGAGAGGGGCGUCUGAAACCCGAUGUCUGCGUUCUCACGGGCGAUUGGUGCCGUCGGUAAGGCGUCUUAUUAGAAAGUUUAAAUGGUAAAUAAAACUUUAAAUUAAAGCAGUUUCCCGAGCAUCGCGCCGCACCGAUUUUGCUGCGCGAGUUCGCCGAUGAAUGAAAUCGCAUAAUGCGAAGGAUCGAUUAUUUUUUUUCGGCGAGAGCGACUGGCGAGGAUUGCCGCGGCAGUCGAAAAGUCGCAAAACAGAAAAUUCGCCUACGAAUGUAGACGUGAAUAUUGACGUAUACGAGCAUCGAAGUUUUCGAAUUGAAGAUCACCUUCCUCACGCGCAACAAUUAUGCGAGAGAGAAAAAGAGAGGUAGAGAGAUGUUAUUUCAUAAAUAAAUCAGUCCUUUAUUUUUCGUGACAAAAAAGUAGUAAAGAUUUAUUUGGUGAGUAUUAUAGUACAUUUUCUAU